GUCUCAGUAGCAUAGUGAUUAGUGCACAUCCUCGGAUAGGUAAGGACGCGGGUUCGAAUCCCGCCUGAGAAG
rnacentral:tRNA from 1 species